rnacentral:rRNA from 1 species
GACGAACGCUGGCGGCGUGCCUAAUACAUGCAAGUAGAACGCACAGUUUAUACCGUAGCUUGCUACACCAUAGACUGUGAGUUGCGAACGGGUGAGUAACGCGUAGGUAACCUGCCUGGUAGCGGGGGAUAACUAUUGGAAACGAUAGCUAAUACCGCAUAAUAUUAAUUAUUGCAUGAUAAUUGAUUGAAAGGUGCAAUUGCACCACUACCAGAUGGACCUGCGUUGUAUUAGCUAGUAGGUGAGGUAACGGCUCACCUAGGCGACGAUACAUAGCCGACCUGAGAGGGUGAUCGGCCACACUGGGACUGAGACACGGCCCAGACUCCUACGGGAGGCAGCAGUAGGGAAUCUUCGGCAAUGGACGGAAGUCUGACCGAGCAACGCCGCGUGAGUGAAGAAGGUUUUCGGAUCGUAAAGCUCUGUUGUAAGAGAAGAACGAGUGUGAGAGUGGAAAGUUCACACUGUGACGGUAUCUACCA